AAAGACGGCCUAGCGCGUUUGCCACCUGCCCCCUGCCGAACUCAGAAGUGAAACGCCGUAGCGCGCGGAUGGUAGUGUGGGGUUUCCCCAUGCGAGAGUAGGGAACUGCCAGGC
rnacentral:rRNA from 1 species